rnacentral:tRNA from 1 species
GGCCGGAUGGCAGAAUGGCUAUGCAGAGGAUUGCAAAUCCUUUGAUAUCGGUUCGAUUCCGGUUCCGGCCUCCA